GCCCUUCAGAGACCGCUCCAGCACCCUGAGUGAGAAGAAGCCUGCCCUGCCCGUCAUCAGAGACAAGUACAAGGACCUGACUGGGGAGGUGGAGGAGAGUGAGCGCUAUGCAUAUGAGUGGCAGAGGUGUCUGGAGAGUGCUGUACAGGUAAUCAACACCGGCGAGGUGCAACAGCCGGGCUCCCCACCGCACACCUCACACCUUGGGCUGCGAAUACAGAGAUCACAGAGAGACCUCAGAAGUCACUGGAAUCAUCUUUAUUUAUUUGCCUUUUAUUCUCUCUCUUUCUCUCUCAGAGGUACUCUGUGCUCUUUGCAGCGGUGAAGAAGUGCAAAUCUGCUAGUUUGUACAAAUUCAAGGCUUGACACAGUAAAGACUAUUCUGUAUCAUAAUGUAUUGUAAAAUUAUACUUUAUAAAUGGUGUCAUUUUCUCAUUUUUCCUUCUUUUUUUUCCAUUGUCUGGUCUCAUAUACAGUAUAAUGCAAUAGAAGUUACAAGUUGGCAUUUUAGCAUUGAUGCUUAUGCGACUUCUCUGGCAGGAUUUAUUUUGGCAAACAUUAUUCAGAUAAUGAACCAAUGUUGUGCUACGGUAACCCAGAGGAGGUCUAGUCCCUAUGUCAGAGCAGGGGAAAAUGUGGACACUUAUAUGAAUGGGGUAAUGGGUCUCAACGUUUUCUGUAAUGCACUCUUUCUGUGACUCAACAAGUCCAUAACAAACUAUUAAAACUGUGCAAUAUACUACUAAUGAAGGAACUUGGAGACAAACUGAAGUGUAAAGUUAUCUGUCGUUUCCCUUGAUUGUCACUUGUUGCUUUGUUACUGUUUAAUGCUUGAGGGACUGUGUUGGUGUUUCGGUCUUAAAGUAGUAUUUUGUCCUUUGUUCUUCUCGAGUCGGGGUUGUGGUAUCAUCACACUGCUGGAACUGAAUCAAUUUUACGGUCGGGUCUCUAAAAGGAUAGUCUAUGGUUGCUAACAUUUUAAUUCAUAUUUAACUUUUUAGGUAUUGUGUGACAUUAACUGCUUUUUAAUGUCUUUGUAUUGUUUGAAAAGGAUUGCUUUAUCUAAAUGAAUGUUAAUGUGCUGUUUGAAUUUUUUUGUGACAUUGGGACUUGAAAGGGAGUCUUAAUUCUUAAAGAUUGUUGGCUGUGGGUUUUGUUUUUCUGUCUUGCUGUGCCAGUGUAUAUAUACUCACACUGAUGGGGAUGUUUUGGCAGAUCUAAGUCUUGAAUGAAGUCAACUAUGAUUAUGGACUACUAUUGCAGCAGCACUUUGUGUGGAUUACAGUAUCAUAGUGUUGUAAUUACAAUGACUAACUGUAAUGUGAAGUGAUGACAUAUACAUAAAUAAUACAUUGAUGCAUAAAUUAAAUACAUUUCAUGGUCAUUAAUCAAUUAAUCAAUGAAUGUAUUACCUGGAAGCCUAUUACCAUACACAUUAAUUAAGAGUAUUGUACAAUUCUGCUGAAUUUGGUUUUGUUUUCAAUAUUUUCUGAAUAUAAUCAAGGUUGGUUUGAAUGUCAACAUGAAUCCUGAAGGCAUUCUAUUGUCUCAAUAGCACGAGUCGUUUAAUCUGGAUGACAUCUGUAACAAAGUCAGGUUCAGAGUCUAAUGCAGCAAUAUCAUAUUAGCACUACUUCUCCUAAAAUGCCAAAUGGUUUGAGAUUGUCACGUCUUUCAUUUUUCACUCAAUAACAUGUUAUUUCUCAGACCAGGGAGGUUUCAUCUCUAUCACUUUGUGACCAAAUGAAAUACAUUAACCUCAGACAAGCCUGCUGGGCCAUCGCUGGAGGACGGAGAGCUAAGACAAUCAAAUGAAAAACAUGCCUGUAGUGGCACCAUGCAUGGAACCAGUCUCAUUAUCAUUCUGUCUCGUGUGUACAGGACAGGUGUGUGUGUUCUCCAACAUACAUUUUUAUCUCUCACCAUUCCCUAAUUGAACAUCCUGCUGAAAAUGAAUUCCUCUCUCCGUCUUCUCACCGUGAGCUGCCAGAUUACUGAAAAUUACAAAUGCUCAAAUUACUGAAUAAUAAGGCUUUGUAAAUUUGAAAUUCAGACCCACCCGUCUGUCCCCAUGUCCUGUCUUCUUCAUGCCUAGUAUUGUCUGCAGGGCUGUGCCUCGUAGGAUCACCUGAGGAGAAUGGGUCUGGAGAGAUGGGAGUGCUACCCUACUGUAUUGACUGCUAUUCUUCAGCCACAGGCUCUUUCAGAUUUUCUGCCCAUUGUCAGUUACAGUAUUGAUUAAAGGCAGAUUUUUUUGCUCACCUG
rnacentral:lncRNA from 1 species